GGGCGUGAAACCGCUGAGAAUGAAACGGAUAGAGUUAACGAAACACAGUGGCAUUCAUCCGAGCCAUGCGUCGUUGUCGGUUGCACUGGUUGCACUGCGCGCCUUCACUGGGGUGCAGGAGCCUUGCAGCUUGUCGAUGACUAUGAUCGGUGCUUUUGUCACUGGUAUGCGCUGAGAAGUUUGCUAUGGUGCGCUGCCGCCAUUCGAAGAUCGCCAUACUCUUGUGAGUGUGGAAUGUUUCGGUGGAUUUAGCAGGCGUAUCCGUGGCGGACGUUGUGCUACGCCCGAUGUAUGACGUGCAACGCGUUGCUGUGCGAUUGGUGUGGCUGUUGAGCGGUCGCGUGCGACUUGCCUACAGUCGACGCUGGUCCACUGGCGACGUUGUCGCGUUGGCACUAGCAUCUCGGUGUAAAAGUUAGCCACCUAUCCGACCCGUCUUGAAACACGGACCAAGGAGUUUAGCAUAUGCGCGAGUCAUUGGGCGGCAAACCCAGAGGCGUAAUGAAAGUAGAGGUCGCUUUUAGCGAUUGAUAUGGGAUCCGUGCAGCGGUUUCGCUGUUGCGGCGCACCAUAGCCCCGUCCCCGUUGCUUGCAAUAGGACGGAGGUAAAGCGCAUACGCUGAGACCCGAAAGAUGGUGAACUAUGCCUGAGCAGGAUGAAGCCAGAGGAAACUCUGGUGGAAGUCCGAAGCGGUUCUGACGUGCAAAUCGAUCGUCUGAC
rnacentral:rRNA from 1 species